UCUAAGCAAUGGUCUAGGUAGGCUAACAAACAUGUGUUUUGUUAGCAAGAUAUAAACCUUUUUGCUGAUUUGUUAGGUAGCGAUAAUAGAUAAUCAUGAUAAUUCUAAUAAUGACGGAUAUUUACAAAACAUUAAAUUGGGUGCCAAAUUUUUAUGUGUAAAAAUUUCUAACUAUGUAACUUAAAGUUUGAGUGUAACUUUUUAAUUCUUUUGAGGUGUGUGGCCAAAGGCAAGUAUCUAUGGGAGUAUUUUAAGAGGAAGACGGGAAGCAGUCCACUCUCCUACUUUUAAUGACCAGAUUGACGCUAUGCAGACGUAGACCGUUAACGGGCAUCAGUAUCGGAGAGAAGAACUAGCCCUGGAGUCAUUGAUAAUCAUGCCCGGCCUGGUGGAACCCAUAAUAAAAGUUGGUAUGUUGGUUUGUAUGUCAAUGUACAAUUUGAAAUAAAAUAAUGAAUUUAAUGAA